rnacentral:hammerhead_ribozyme from 1 species
AUCCAGCUGAUGAAUCCCAAAUGGAACGAAACGCGCAUUCUGGAU